AAUGUACCCUUCUCUAAGGAAUAGCCUCUGGAAACGGAGAGUAAUACCUUAUACGCCCUUCGGGGGAAAGAUUUAUCGGAGAGGGAUCAGCCCGCGUUAGAUUAGAUAGUUGGUGGGGUAACGGCCUACCAAGUCUACGAUCUAUAGCUGGUUUUAGAGGAUGAUCAGCAACACUGGGACUGAGACACGGCCCAGACUCCUACGGGAGGCAGCAGUGGGGAAUCUUGGACAAUGGGCGCAAGCCUGAUCCAGCCAUGCCGCGUGAGUGAUGAAGGCCUUAGGGUCGUAAAGCUCUUUCGCCAGGGAUGAUAAUGACAGUACCUGGUAAAGAAACCCCGGCUAACUCCGUGCCAGCAGCCGCGGUAAUACGGAGGGGGUUAGCGUUGUUCGGAAUUACUGGGCGUAAAGCGCGCGUAGGCGGGUUGUUAAGUUAGAGGUGAAAUCCCGGGGCUCAACCCCGGAACUGCCUUUAAUACUGGCAACCUAGAGUUCGAGAGAGGUGAGUGGAAUUCCGAGUGUAGAGGUGAAAUUCGUAGAUAUUCGGAGGAAC
rnacentral:rRNA from 1 species